rnacentral:rRNA from 1 species
UACGUAGGGUGCAAGCGUUGUCCGGAAUUAUUGGGCGUAAAGGGCUCGUAGGCGGUCCAUCGCGUCGGGAGUGAAAAGCUGGGGCUUAACCCCAGUCCUGCUUCCGAUACGGGUGGACUAGAGGUAGGUAGGGGAGAACGGAAUUCCUGGUGUAGCGGUGAAAUGCGCAGAUAUCAGGAGGAACACCGGUGGCGAAGGCGGUUCUCUGGGCCUUACCUGACGCUGAGGAGCGAAAGCGUGGGAGCAAACAGG